GAGGGUGUCUCUGAAAGAAAUUAGCGUUUGAUUCAGUAGAUGGAGUAAAGAAGAUGGUCCUCAGCAAUGUGGGGAGGCGUCAGCUAAUCCACAGAGGGCCUGAGUAGAACAGAAAGACGGAGGAAGGAAGAAUUGGCUCUUUCUCUUGAGCUAGCAUGUAUAUCUUCUCCUGUCCUUGGACUUCAGUGUUCUUGGUUCUUGGGCCUUUGAACUUGAACUGCUGUCUGGCUUGUACAUGGCAGAGUCUAGGACUUCUUGGCCUCAAACCAUGUAGGCCAAUUUCUAUAAUGAAUCAAUCUAUACAUGUUUAGAGAGUAGUCUCCCCUCAUCAUUGACUUCCCUGGUGACUCAGACGGUAAAGUGUCUGCCUACAAUGCAGGAGACCUGGGUUCGAUCCCUGGGUUGGGAAGAUUCCCUGGAGAAGGAAAUGGCAACCCACUCCAGUACUCUUGCCUGGAAAAUUCCAUGGGUGGAGGAGCCUGGUAGGCUUCAGCCCAUGGGGUUGCAAAGAGUCGGACUCAACUGAGCGACUUCACUUUGUUUCUCCCCUCAUCUAUGGUUUCACUUUCCACGGUUUCAAUUACCCGUGCUCAACUGUGGCCCAAAAAUGUUAAAUGGAAAAUUCUAGAAAGGCGCAAUUCCCCAGUUUUGCAUUUCGUGGUAUUCUAAGUGGCAUAAGGAAAUCUCACGCUGUCCCACUCUGUCCCCCUGGGAUUCCCUGGGUCAGUGAUCCAGGACCACCUACAGCAGAUGACCCUCCUCCUGACACAUCAACAGGUCAGUAGGAGCCUAACGUGACAUCUCAGUGUCUAUGUCAUUCGGUCACUUUAUCUCGUGUAGGCAUUUUAUCAUCGCAUGUCAUCACAGGAAGGAUGAGUACAAUGCAACUGCUAUGUGAGGAGCUGGCAUUACCAUUCAGAGAGACUGAGAAUACGGAAGAACACAUUUGUGGAGCACAAACUAGAAGGAAGGGGUCGGGCAGAAGGUACUGGGAUUAGGGAGAGGACUUGUAUUUCAUCCAUCC
ensembl:lncRNA